GAUGAACGCUAGCGGCAGGCUUAAUACAUGCAAGUCGAACGGUAAGGUCUCUUCGGAGAUACAAGAGUGGCGCACGGGUGCGUAACGCGUAUGCAACCUACCUUUAACUGGGAAAUAGCCCCGAGAAAUCGGGAUUAAUGUCCCAUAUUAUUUUCUGAAAGCAUUUUCGGGAAAUGAAAGCUCCGGCGGUUAUUGAUGGGCAUGCGUGACAUUAGUUAGUUGGUGAGGUAACGGCUCACCAAGGCAACGAUGUCUAGGGGUCCUGAGAGGGUUAUCCCCCACACUGGUACUGAGACACGGACCAGACUCCUACGGGAGGCAGCAGUAAGGAAUAUUGGGCAAUGGACGCAAGUCUGACCCAGCCAUGCCGCGUGAAGGAUGAAUGUCCUAUGGAUUGUAAACUUCUUUUAUGCAGGAAAAAUAUCCCGGUCGUGAACCGGGACUGAUGGUACUGUAUGAAUAAGCAUCGGCUAACUCCGUGCCAGCCGCCGCCGUAAAAC
rnacentral:rRNA from 1 species